UUAUUGAGUGCUUUUAAUUGUUUGAAUUGAUUUUAUUCUUUGUGCCCCCAGUGCCUUAAUAAUAAACAAGUGACAGCUAGUUAAAGUUAAAUUAGUGCAUGUGAAGCAGGGUUUUAAUCACUUUUCCAUAGUCCUGCAUGUCUUGCACUCAUACUGACCUGCUACUCAUCCAUGCUGGCUGUAAAUGAGCAUGCUUUCUGUCCCUGACUACUGCUUGCUGAUCUGUCACUAAUCUUCCCCAAGACUAUCACGGCUCUUUAUAGAGCAGCCAAUUUGGAGCGUGUUCUGGGCCAGGUUGGGGCUAGUGGAUCCCACGCUGAGCUGGGGACCAGGGCUUAGGCAUCUCCCAUUUUACUCUAGAGGUUUUCAUGCAGGGCUCAAUCCUAUGGCUCUGAGAACACUUGGAGCAAUGGCAGCGAUCACUUGCAGCGUUGCAGGCAACAUUCCUCAA